rnacentral:rRNA from 1 species
GAUGAACGCUAGCGACAGGCUUAACACAUGCAAGUCGAGGGGUAGCAGGAUAGAAGCUUGCUUUUAUUGCUGACGACCGGCGCACGGGUGAGUAACGCGUAUGCAACCUACCUAUCAGCGGGGGAUAGCCCAUUGAAAGAUGGAUUAAUACCGCAUAAAGCAGGGGUCCCGCAUGGGAAUAUUUGCUAAAGAUUAAUUGCUGAUAGAUGGGCAUGCGUUCCAUUAGUUAGUUGGUAAGGUAACGGCUUACCAAGACAUCGAUGGAUAGGGGUUCUGAGAGGAAGGUCCCCCACACUGGUACUGAGACACGGACCAGACUCCUACGGGAGGCAGCAGUGAGGAAUAUUGGUCAAUGGGCGAGAGCCUGAACCAGCCAAAUCGCGUGAAGGACGACGGUAUUAUGUAUUGUAAACUUCUUUUAUAAGGGAAUAAAAAGUAGGACGUGUCCUAUGUUGCAUGUACCUUAUGAAUAAGCAUCGGCUAACUCCGUGCCAGCCGCCG